rnacentral:rRNA from 1 species
UACGUAGGGUGCAAGCGUUGUCCGGAAUUAUUGGGCGUAAAGAGCUCGUAGGCGGUUUGUUGCGUCGGCUGUGAAAUUCCGAGGCUCAACCUCGGGUCUGCAGUCGAUACGAGCAAACUAGAGUGUUGCAGGGGAGACUGGAAUUCCUGGUGUAGCGGUGAAAUGCGCAGAUAUCAGGAGGAACACCGGUGGCGAAGGCGGGUCUCAGGGCAACAACUGACGCUGAGGAGCGAAAGCGUGGGGAGCGAACAGG